rnacentral:rRNA from 1 species
UACGUAGGGGCCUAGCGUUGUCCGGAUUUAUUGGGCGUAAAGAGCUCGUAGGCGGUUUGGUAAGUCGGGUGUGAAAUCUCCACGCUCAACGUGGAGGGGCCACCCGAUACUGCCAUGACUGGAGUCCGGUAGGGGAGUGUGGAAUUCCCGGUGUAGCGGUGAAAUGCGCAGAUAUCGGGAGGAACACCAGUAGCGAAGGCGACACUCUGGGACGGUACUGACGCUGAGACGCGAAAGCGUGGGGAGCGAACAGG